rnacentral:lncRNA from 1 species
GGACGAGGAGGGGGUUCUCCCCCGCUCGGAGCGCGCGGCUGGGGAAGAAGCUGGCGGGAAGCCGGGCCGCGCGCCGAGGAAUCGAUGAUUCGGCCUGUGGGCCGGGUCACUGCGGCGGGGCCCGGGGAGCGCCGAUAGCAUGGAUAGGCUCAGAGGGGCGCAGGGUUUUGGCGGCUUCCCGAGUUCCCCUCGCCGACCGCCAUGUCACAUCUUACGGAAGAGGCGGGGGCUGCCGCGGAGAGGAUAUUUUUUGUUUUGUUUUGUUUUCACAAGAAUCACCUGGAUGCUUCUAAAGAGGAUGUCUACCAGACCCCAUGCCGCACUAAUUAGCUCAGAAGUGGGAACCCUUCGCUAGCUCCAUGUUUUGUUCACGUGACUCUCAACCUGGUGUGGCCUGGACUCUAGUCCCUGCCUCAAGGAAAGUCCAGACUGACAUAGAAAAUCCCUGCUCACCAGCCUUGACCUUGGGAGAAAGCCCCUGACCUGUGAGUGGACAGAAGGCCUGGUGGUCAGCCCGUGGGAGCCCUGGAGCGUGCACUGCUGGAGCAGCUCAGAAAAAGCUGAGAAGCCAAGACUUGACUGUCAGUCCUGGAGAAUUAGAACAUGCCUGCUAAAUUUCAGUCCACUCUGAGGAAGGGGCAGUGCCCACAAGGAAACCUAGUGGGUGGGGUUCUGGCUGGGACUCAUCUGGAGUUCCCAGGGCAGAUGCCCGGCCCCAGCUUAUAGACCAUGAUGCGGCUGGGCUUCCGUGUCUGAUUCUUAAGUGCCUCAGGUAAACAGACUCUCCUUUGCUUUGCCAGGAGGAAUGACAUUACUAUCAGCAUUGUAAAAGUCUGUGGCCUUUGGGAGAGUAAUUUUACUUCUAAGACUCUCCUCUACAGAGAAGUGUGCACACUGUUCCCAGUGGAGUCUAUAAAGAUAGCAAAGAGCAAAGACUUAAAACAGAAUGGCUCUGGGUUUGAAGUGUUGUGUAUCUAGACAAUGAACAGCCCACCUUUAAACAAGCCCCACAUGGACUGAAGCGGAGGCAGCUCCAAAUGUAUUAGGUGACAGUGCCACAUGGCUCUGUGUGAUGGUAAGAUUAUAUGUGUACAUGUCAUCUCGAAAGGAGAAUUCGGCUUAUCUCUGGGGAGAGAGUCUGCAUCUUUUCUCAUUUGUACCGAGUAUGGAGUGUGUAUCUAUCUCUCUGUCAGAAAUGUCAAGGGAAGGGUUCACCAUUGACCUGAUGCUCACGAAGGUUAGGAACCAAUGCCAACCACAAUGCCCACCUCUACCUUCAGGAGACAGUAAACGCCUUAGAAUACAAAACCCAUAAACAACCAAGACUGUGGUGCCUGCUGGGGCUGGGCCUGAGCUGCACACAGAGGCUAGGUACCGAACAGCUGCCAUGGUAAACUGGCACAGUUAGGCACGCGGCCGGGUUCACACGCCCUCUGCCCUGACUUUAAAGACAGCAGUCUUGGCCCAGCUUCCCUCACCCCCUAUGUAUGAGCAGAGAGCUAUACUUGCUGGGUUUCCAGCUCUUGUAUUUGGACUCCUCUUCUCUUUUCUCUUUUUUGAGAGAGGGUCUCACUGUGUAUUCGUGGCUGCUCUGGAACUUCCUGGACCAGGCUGGCCUUGAUGUAGAUCUCUGCCUUCUAAAAAAUAAAAAUAUGUUUUAUGUGUA